rnacentral:rRNA from 1 species
UGGGGAAUAUUGGACAAUGGGCGAAAGCCUGAUCCAGCCAUGCCGCGUGUGUGAAGAAGGCCUUUUGGUUGUAAAGCACUUUAAGUGGGGAGGAAAAGCUUAUGGUUAAUACCCAUAAGCCCUGACGUUACCCACAGAAUAAGCACCGGCUAACUCUGUGCCAGCAGCCGCGGUAAUACAGAGGGUGCAAGCGUUAAUCGGAAUUACUGGGCGUAAAGCGCGCGUAGGUGGUUAUUUAAGUCAGAUGUGAAAGCCCCGGGCUUAACCUGGGAACUGCAUCUGAUACUGGAUAACUAGAGUAGGUGAGAGGGGAGUAGAAUUCCAGGUGUAGCGGUGAAAUGCGUAGAGAUCUGGAGGAAUACCGAUGGCGAAGGCAGCUCCCUGGCAUCAUACUGACACUGAGGUGCGAAAGCGUGGGUAGCAAACAGGAUUAGAUACCCUGGUAGUCCACGCCGUAACGAUGUCUACCAGUCGUUGGGUCUUUUAAAGACUUAGUGACGCAGUUAACGCAAUAAGUAGACCGCCUGGGGAGUACGGCCGCAGGU